rnacentral:rRNA from 1 species
UACGUAGGUGGCAAGCGUUAUCCGGAAUUACUGGGCGUAAAGCGCACGCAGGCGGUCCUUUAAGUUUGACGUGAAAGCUCCCGGCUUAACUGGGAGAGGUCGUUGAAGACUGGGAGACUUGAGGCAAUGAGAGGGGUGUAGAAUUCCCGGUGUAGUGGUGGAAUGCGUAGAUAUCGGGGGGAAUACCAGUGGCGAAAGCGGCACCCUAGCGUUAGCCUGACGCUCAUGUGCGAAAGCGUGGGGAGCGAACGGG